AUGCAUGUGGAAACUAAGUUGAACAGUUCAUCACGUACUACCGACCGAGAGGGGGCAAACACAUGCAUGAUGAUCACGUACGAGAGCCGUUUUUGUACAGGAUUGUACCAUUUUUAUCCAGUUCAUGGUCACUGGUUACUGUUAGAAACUUCACUUUUGCUUUUCCUGUUAUUCUUAUUUCGAUCUUCAAUUCAUUGGUGUGUGUGGUGCAUGUCAGUGUGGGGAAUCAUGGCAAAGGUGGCUUCAUAUGAUUGGUGGAGGCGGCUGCUGUCCCUCUCACUUGCAUCAUAUGCUUUGUCUCCAGUGAAGAAAAAUAGGGUCACUUGCAUCAUAUGUCUGUUUGUUCUUGUUCAUUCGAUUUCUUUAGUUUAA
rnacentral:rRNA from 1 species